UACGUAGGUCACAAGCGUUGUCCGGAUUUACUGGGUGUAAAGGGCGUGUAGGCGGAGCUGCAAGUCAGAUGUGAAAUUCCGGGGCUCAACCCCGGAACUGCAUUUGAAACUGCAGCCCUUGAGUAUCGGAGAGGCAAGCGGAAUUCCUAGUGUAGCGGUGAAAUGCGUAGAUAUUAGGAGGAACACCAGUGGCGAAGGCGGCUUGCUGGACGACAACUGACGCUGAGGCGCGAAAGCGUGGGGAGCAAACAGG
rnacentral:rRNA from 1 species